CCCAGUACAACGAGAAACACAAGCUGCUUCCAGGCCCUAGGCUCGUCACAACUCUCAAGAUGCUUUCCCGCCCCCUGGAGGCCUGAAUUUGACAUAUGGAAACAAAGAUUAGUCACACCAACAGAGAAUCGUCUUUAUUGCCAUUUACCUAGACACUGACACUGGCGAGCAGAGGGGGAAGUUUGGACUAGGACAAGGAUAGAAGACGAGUUCAGACUCCGGAUCCGCCCCGGGGCGCUAAAGCGGUGGCGGUUAAGGUCGGACAGCGGCGACCAGGGCAGGGAUGUGGCUCUAGCUCUGCGCCUGCGCGGCGGCCCAUGGUCAGGAUGCCAGCUGCGUGGUUACCGUUGGCCUGGAGGAGGCGCUGCAGCCGUCCCUGGAGGCCUGGGGGUCCAGCCCGCCGCUUUCCCAGAGUCAGGAUGCCCGCAGCGUGGUUGCCAGCUCCAUGCAAGAGUUCGUAGAGACGGCAGGAACACGUUUUCUGGCGACAGCAGUCGGGCAGAGGCUGUGCGUCCACCCCAAGGGACAACAGCGCUGGGGGCAGCAGUAGCAGCAGCAGCAGCGUCACGGAGGCCCAGGGAACCUAAAGAGGACGGAGACAAGAAGGAAGGUUCAUGAUGUCUGGAGCUCAGGAAAAGAUGGAGAGAUGCUAUCUUCAGUGCAGUGGUCCAAAUACCCAAGAAGUCUGAGGCCGUCGUCUUCUGUGGCUUGCUUCCAGGGGACAGGGGUUUAUAGUGCUCUGAGGUACUCCACCAUAGAAAGUCUUGGAGACUUACUGUGGGCAACGGAUGAGAGAAAAGCCAAGCCUGGUUUUUAGAAGCUGAUGAAGAGUAGACGCCUCCUGGGCCAGUAGAGAAGAGGGAGCUGGGCCAGGUGCCUGAGCCUGAGGACCCGAGGCAUUCCAGGAGGCCAGGAGGAGGAGGGGCAGGCUGCUAGCGCUCUCCGAAGAACGCUGAAGCUCCCUGGCCUCACCAGAUGGACUUUGGCAAGACCCACACUGCCCCGGAUCCGCAAGGCCUUGUACUGAGGGGAGGCCUCCUGAAGGCAGUGGUCAAGCUGAAGGCAGAACAGUGAGAUUCCUCAACCCCCUCAGCUCCACAAACACUUCAUAGUGUGGGGCCAAAACCUCACAGGAGUCUGAGGAUAAAGCCAUAGGAAUACAGACUUCCUGAGGACAAGGCGGCUUCGAGAGCCAACACCCUACACCCUCACAUCUUCCCUAUUCUAAGGUACCAACCACCUGUACCACAUCACCCAGCCGGCACCUGUGGAAUAAGUCGAGAGGAAGAAUGAGCUUCCAUCCCUUCCCAAGACCAGGGUCCUCAUCACAGGAGACAAGGACCAGUCAGCAGGAGAUCACCUGGUCAGGCUGGUCCAGCCUGCUCUUUCCUGGUCCUGACUGAGCAGAAGCAGGCAGAGAUGCUGUGUGGAUCAGAGCUGGAAACAAGGCCUGGCACCACACGAGUCUGUGUGAAAUGCUAUGUCUCUGUCAGUGAACCUUGGCAUUCUCAGCUGUUAGUCAGAGCUAGUAACCCAGACCAUCCCAGGCACUGAGGAGAACUAAAGAAGGAAAGCGUAUGCUAUGCGGCUCAAUGCAUGGUAGCUAGCUGUGUGACGUCUGCCCCCAGCCCCACCUGCAUCAUCCCCCGCUGACCUCCGGAGGCAGCAUAAGCGGGAGAGAAGAAGGCUAGCCCUUGGCACCACAGGACCCUGAGGGCAGCCACAGCUUCUGCCUGUCCUCCUGAAUCCAGAGUCACCACCACCUGCAGCUUUGGCCAGAGCCGGAGGGCCAAUCCUCGGGGUCCCUGCUCUAGGGCCUCCUGCAGCUCAGUGGCUCGUUUGGGGAGAAGCCUUCCUAGGCUCCCAGAUGCUAUGGCUUCAGCCAGUUCUUCACCAUCAGCCUCCAAGCCCACAAAGACAUCCAGGAGCUCCACUGCAGUCCUUGCCUCAAGCACUCUCAGCCCCGGGGAUAUCAACGCCUCCAGCAGCAGGGUCCGGGUGUCCUUGGCUCCAUCGGGGCUUACCCGACCCAGGGCAUGCCCGAGCCAGGGGACAGAACAGGGCCAUGGGGAUAUAGGGGUCACACAGGCAGUACUUCCCGGAGCCAGCACUUCAGGGUAGGCCUUGUUUAGGGUUAUUAGACCCAGUAGGGUGGCCUGGAGGGAGAUAGGAGCGCCUGUCAUUCAGACUUAAGAAUCAGACCACAGCUAUCCCAGUGGGCCUUCUUUGCACAUCCAUUUGGGAGGGUCUGCUAUUAUGGGGUGGAGGUACCUCUGUUUACCUGCAAAGAGGCAUCUCCAUGGUACUGGGGGAAGGUAGGGGACGGGAGUUUCUCUUCACUUUCUUUCUCCUGGGUGUGGCUGAUUUGGGUCAGUGGAAGAUGAUUCCGGAAGGUGCUCACGUCUGUAGAUCCCCCCCAAAAAACACCAGAAACUCCUCAGGAAGUGAGAAGACUAUGGAGAGCCUUGAAAAAGGAACCCAGAAAGGCUAGACCAGGGCCCAGCUAAGGAAAAACCAUCCUAACAGGAGUCAGGUGUAGGCCAUGGUAGGGCUCUGUACCAGGCCACAUCAUAUUGGUGGUAAACGAAGGGGCCUUUGGGUUAUUUUCUCUCAUUGGGUCACCUCCCCCAGGUACCAGAAACACACCUGUGUACUCCCUGGGGAGACAGCAGGAACCCUGGGCUUUCUUCAGACACCACAUAAGGGCCUGCUGCUGGCUCUGGCCUGCAUUCAAUGUGCUCCGUUCUAGUUUCCGCUGCUGCCAGGCGGCUGCCCAGCCCAGCAUCCCCCAGGACACUCGGUGCUGGAGACUGAUCAGCCAGCAUGGCCUGGCACCCCAAGCCCUUUGCUGCCAGAGCAUGGCCAGCAGGGGCAGGAGCAGCAGCAGGAGCAGCAGCAGCCACAGCAGAAGCAUCUCCAAGGAGCUCCUGGGAGAGGAAUGGGACAGAAUGGGCCGUGAGAGGGAUAACCAUGUCUUCCCCCACACUCCACUGCACACAGAAAAGGGAGGAAGGAGACAGUGGGAGGAAGCCGGGGCCUUGCUGAGCAGGUGAUAUGGAAGAGAGACCCUCAAGACCCUAACUGGCAUCCUUGCUUCCGAGCUGGAGAACAGCUUCAACAGCUCCUCCCUCGGAAGACUUGAGAGGACUGGGCAUGACGUACAUUUUUACCCACUCCCAAGUGAUUUUGCUUCCUCUCAGGAUCUUCCCUGCCCUGGUCCCGUUUCCCUCUAGAGCCCUGGAUAUAUAUAUGCACCGGUCACAGCCCACUUCCGCCUACUUUCAGCACCCCAGAUCCCUCAGGGUCCCUUUGGUCUCUGUAUACUGCAGUUCUGAAAGCUGAAGUGAUGACUUUAAAAGGCAGGGCUUGGACAGGAAAUCCGGCCUGACUGGGCGGACCUGGGGGCGUGGAGGGAUGUUCUUAAAGGAACAGGUCUCCUAAAGGGCGAAAAGUUGAUUUGCUGGCUCAGGUUGGCAGAUGAGGGAGUUAAGGCCAGGGUAGCAAGGGUCUAGAAAGACAGGGAGGUGUGUGUGGAAAGAGUGCUGGCUUUCCAUCCAGGAGCAGACUCAGACUUGAGAUCUACUAAAGACCACAGCUUCGGAGGUGUGGUUGUGCACACCAGUUGCUCCAGCCCUAGGGGAUGUGUCCGCUAGAGAGCCAGGUCACACACAGCUACUUAACAAGUUCAAGGUCAGCCUGAGCUACUUUUCUUAAACAACCUAUUUUACAGAAUGCAUCUGGAAUGCAUCCCUGCAUCUGGGAGAGGCUGGGGAAGAGGAAUGAUUCCUCUAAAUCGGAGACCAUCUGGGCUACAGAGCCAGAGGUGGAGCUUCCGAUUGUAACUGGAACCAGAUUGGAGGCGUGGCCAAUAGCAGGAGAUGGGCAGAGAGGUGUGGCUAUGAGAGGCAGGCCUCAAACCAGGAGGGUAACAAGGAUGCACUGGAGGCGCUGAGGCUUUAUGCUAAAGAAGUUUCCCACAGAGGAGUAUCGCGUUUGAUGCUUCCAGAUCUUAGGGAGAGAGUGGAGUUUUUCACCAGUGUGAUGGUAGCUGUCAGACUUUAGCAUCAUCUGAAAUGGCUGUAGUUAAAACCAUUUGUAACUUCGUGUUUUUCCACCCCUCCACUUUGUUUCCAGAAAUAAACGUAAUAUUUCAUGAAUAAAUGAA